CCAAAAGCAAUACAACGUAUGUACAAAGGUUCUCUAUUCUCCAUACAACUAGCCCACCAAACAUUGGGGCGAGAACCAUAAAAAAAAAGUCAAAAGUUCUAGACCGGCUAGUCUAUAAGUAGCUUCCGUCCUUGCACGUCUUCCCCUGCUAAGGAAAACAAAAACUAAAGGAAUGAGCUGGAAAGCUCAGUGAGGUUCCGUACACAUAGGCAAGAAGAGAAUCAAUGCAUUCAAUACAUAUAAACAACAAUUCAAGUUACAAGGACAAAUAAAGCGAUAAACAUAUUCAUGAAAAGGAUACGGGCUCACAAGGAGCCAUUCGUUCAUUCGUUCAUUCAUUCAUUCUCCUUUCAUUCCCUUAUGUCUCCAAUCAUUUGAAAAAUGCAUUUUAUAUAAGUAAAACCCUCAUUCAUUCAUUCGUUCAUUCAUUCAUUCACCCCGUCCCUGGCUUUUGGCCAGGCUCAACCAACCUACAAGGUAAUACUCGAGUAUACCGAAACGUUCACCCAAGUCCCUAAUCGCCCGACCGAGUCCGCUUCUGGCUCGAGACGACCGGUAACAAGGGGCAAUGGCCAGUUCAGCCCAAAGGCUUACAUUCAUGCACAAAUAACAUUUCAAUCGUUCAAUCAUUGAAACUUUCACAAUCAUUUAGGCCGAGUGCGAUAAAGUACACACUUGCCUCAAAAACUCGUUUUAGCAAUUGUUGAAAGCAUUUAACAUUUAUCAAUCAUUCAUACAAGCCAUACCCAUCAUGAAACAUAACAAACAAGGAACACUCACCUAAUUACGCAAAAUAACGUGCAAAAUAUUCUUCCAGAUAUUACCCUCGGUCACCGAGAAAACCUAAGAUUUAACGAAAAGAAUAUUACAAGUCAUAUAGCAAAACAAGUAAGUGAAAUCAAGGAAUUCGGCUAAGUACGAGUAAAGCGAGUAAAACAGAUAAAGGUGACUUUAAAGUGAAAGGAGUCCAUUAGGGCUAGUGGAUGAAAUAACUAGGGUUGGUAAAUUAAGUACAAAACUAACUCCAAAAAGGUUAAUAAGUUUCCGACGGAAAAUACGUAACUAGAACACUUUAUAACCCAACUUGAUAAAUAAAUUUGUUCACGUGGUUCAAAAUCAACUCAUUUUCAAAGAAAUAGUAUAGGCUAAAUGUCUUCACUAUAAAGCAUGCGAAAGGAGGACAAAAUACGUUAACUUCCACACUUAGAGCCUCGCUUAAAAAUAAUUCACUUGUAUUCAUAGGAAAGGCAUAAAGAACAUUUGGGGUUUCAUGCUUUCGAAUGGUAAAAUGGUCACAUUAGUUGCCUUGCAGAAAUAUACAAAUGUAACUAGAACUUAGCCCUCGAAUCCUUAGUUGAACGAUCCAAUGAAAUUCUCAAGGAAAUACACCCAAAUUUGAUACAAAAUACAUUUCCAAAACCAUUUUAACUCAUUCAAUUUCCAAGAAAAUAAAUGGACGGCAUAACAACAACCCAGAAAAUGUAACUAUAGCAAACCAGAAAAUCAGGAAAUGUAACUAUAUUAGCCCAAAUAACAAAAACAGUUUUGGCCUCCUAAUGCGGUAAUGGCACAACUCUCACUACAAUUAUCGGUUGGGGAUGUAAGACCCACCGUUUCGAAUCUAAGAAACAGGGCUACAACAAUGUAGAAGACCACUCAAUCCAGUUCUUAACACAACUAGGUCAAAUAUGCCAAAUACUAUCCCAGAAUUCCCAAAACAGGUUUGCAAAACACAGAAAACUGUAAUCGGUAUAUCUCAGUCCAUACAAGUCCAAAUGCCAAAAUUACAAAGGCAUAUGAUAGCUAAGACAUUCAGCUACAUUUAAUCAGAAGACACCAACUCCAAAAUCCAAACCAAUUCCAGUCAAAAAGGCCAAUUACUAUCGCAGUUUUCGCAUUCUGAUCAAAGCAGAACAGCUACAGUAAAAACGACAUAACUCACUCUACACUCAUCCAAAUGACCUGAAAUUUUACAGACACCUCAAAAACAUCAAUACCUACAACUUUCAUGUUUUGAGCAAAGUCCAAUUCGGCCUCUAACCCAGUGAUCUAAAACCGGACAGAAUUGGGAUUUUAUGAACCCAACUUUCCAAUUUUCCAUUCAAAUCCAAAAUUAAUUGCAUUUAUCCACAAUUCACACCCACUAGAACCAUUAUAGUCCAUUUCCAAUCAUCCAAGAUAGCUACAACAAUCAUUUCAUAUUAAACCAGAAAAAUUCCCAAUAAAAUAAAAACUUCACCAAAACUCUUCAAAUCAAGAAAUAAAUCAUAUAUUUCAUCACCCAAGGCACCUCUAAGCAUAUUAUAAUCAUCAUUAGGUAUAGGGGAGAGGUUGUAGCAUCACUUACCAAGAAACAAGGGAAAGAGAGGUUGUGGACACCUUUGCUCUUCAAGACAACUUCACUACAACCCUUACUAGCACUAGAAGGUAGGAUUUUAUGGAGUGAAAUGGAUGGAAGCAAAUGUUUUUGGUUGAUUUGCACCAAGUAGAAGCUAGAACUUGAAGAGUUUCUCCUUCCUUCUUUG
rnacentral:lncRNA from 1 species